GAACUACUUAUUAAAAUAUGGUAUGAUGGAUGUUUUUUCUGUUUAUAUAGAAAAAGUGUAAAGACUAAAAAAAAAAUUAGCCGGGAAUAAUGAUUACUAUCAAGAAAAGACUCUGCAUUUCACUUUGUAUUGUUUCCCGAAGUUUUCUUUUAAGAACGCGUAAGAUUUAAUGGUCAAGAAAGUGUUUUCCUUUCCCCUUUUGCUUCCUUAGAUCUACAAUGCUUACAUGCUAAGCUACACAAUAUAAAAAGAAAAAAAAUAAAACAAACUAUUUAUGUUGGUCGCACCCCUCAUACUUUCAUUAUUUUUUAUAAUAUUACCAUAAAGUGUAAAUUAUUACAUUAUAUUUUUGCUGAUAUAUCUGACUUUGUAUUAGUGUUUUGUAAAGAGGACAAGUGUGAUCGACUGAUCGUGGUGUUGGUAAAGGAGCACGCGAGCCGAGGAUUAUGAUGAUGAGUAGCAGAUUUUGACAAUUUAGAAAUCUCGAUUUCCUGAAGAUUAUACUAGUUCUCAAAGAAAUAUUUACUAAUACGGUAACCGAUUCAUUUUUGUUUGGAGAUUUGUUCGGCAAUCAAGUGUCAAAAAUUAAGACUGUACACAAAUACUUGUUAGUACCUAAUAUGUUGUAAAUCAUUAUGUGGAUGGCCCAUAACCAAGACCAAGACAAAGCCCAGCCGUGUUCAAGAAGAGAGAGAGUCGGCGUCCAAGAGGAGAGAGAGUCGGCCUAUCCCUUGGCCGACUUUAGUCUUAGGACGUUUUCCAUUUAUCUGUUUUAUAUCUUUUCCUAUUUCAUAUUGUAUUAGGUUUUGGAUAAUUUCCUUUUUCCUAUACUUUGUAAUCCUUAUAUAAGGAACCUCUAUUGUUCAUUAAUAAUACACAGAAACAAUUCUCCAUUCUUUUACAACACGUUAUCAGCACGAUCGUCUCUAGAUCCCUGAGACAAAUCGAAACCUCUAAACCCUAAAAGCCAAAACCGGCGACCACAACCCAAAACCCUAAUCUCGUUCUUAGUUCAAUCAAGAACUCAGAAGAUCCCUCUUGAAUCCUAGACGUUCUCAGAUCACGUUCCAGCUCAGAAGAACCGUCCAGCUUGCGAUCAAACCCGAGACGCGAUCGCACCCGACACGACCCGCGUCCGAGAGACUCGCACCCGAGACAGCCGGCGGUCGUCCUCAGCUCGCGUCUGCUCCCAUCCGCGACCCGAUUGCAUCCGUUCGUCCUCUCUCUCUCUCUAAAGGUGGUCCGGUUCUAAAACUCUACAAACAAAGGUAUAACUUAAUCUGAGAACCUAGAUUGAUCAGAAACCCUAAUCCACAAUUAUGGAAACUUUGAUCUUGAUCAAAACCCUAAAACCUACAAGAUUAAAAUCGACAAUCUCUUAACUAGAAAGAUAGAAAUCGAUUCCUUAGAACUUGAAUUGAUUGUUCCUGAUUUGAUUUUGAGAAACCCUAAGUUUUGGAAUCGAAACCCUAAACCCUAAAGAACUGAAUUCAAUUUUUAAUUGAUUGAAUUGUUUGUUGAUUUGAGGUUUUAGGAUUGUUAGAUUGAUUGAAGUAAUCUGAUUUAAAACUUGAAUCCUAAAGGCCUUGAAACCUUUAAUUAAAACCGGCAGCUUUAGUUUUAAAGUUGAAACCCUAAAUUCAUAAAUUGCUAAGGUUGUUUGCAUUACAUAUGAAUUUGAAUUGAAAUUGCAUUCGUAUUGUUUAAUGAAAUCGACUAGCAUAUAGAAACAUACGAAUUCGAAUCUGAUUGCAUUGAAAAUCAUAAUGGUCGUGUGGCCUUAAUCCCCCUAGCUCUUGUAGAAUCAUAUAUUAGGAUUGUUCGCACCAUGGUCAAUUUAGAUUUACAUGUCCGAUCCUAUUGCUUGACUAUAUGGCCGUGUGGCUUGUUUGUUCGUACCAUGGUCGAUUAGAUUGAUUGUUUUCUCAUAGAUGCGUAAGACAAGUUUGUGGCCGAGCUUGUUAUACCAUGCGGCCACAUGAUCACAUUGUGAACCUAAAUUGAAAUGAUGAUGUGAUUCAGAUGUCGAAAAUCUCAAAUAGAGACUACGCAGCCCUUAAUCUCUCCGGAGAUAAAUACUUGCAGUGGGCGC